rnacentral:rRNA from 1 species
CGUAACAAGGUAGCUGUAGGUGAACCUUCGGCUGGAUCAUUAACGAUUCUUUAACCUUUAACUCGUUCUUUCGAACGUUUUAUUUAUAGCCUUCGGGUUAUAGUCACAAAUCCUAACCAAACGACUGUGUAGAGGUUUCUAUGCGCUAGAUGAUUCGAUGUUUGUCGUAUCGACGUAUGAUUCUAGCCGGCUGCUGUUCGCUUCGGUUGAAUAGCGUAGGAUUGAAAAGCCCGAGUGGCUGCCUCUACAACUCUUAUACUUUAAUUAUUUUUUUCUAUGAGUUACAAGUUACUCCGGUGGAUCACUUGGCUUACGGUUCGAUGAAAAACGCAGUGAAUUGCGAUAAUAAGUACGAAUUACAGAUAUUAUGAGUACCAUGUUUUUGAAUGCAUAUUGCGCUCUUGAGCUCUGCUCUUGAGCAUAUCCGAUUCAGGGUGUGUUGAAAAACUAAAGGAAUUGCAUGUCUAGUUUUCGAGCAUUUCCAUUUGGUUAUUGUCCUCGCAUUGCGGUCUUGUGUCGUGAUGUUAGGCAAGUAUACGCGGCUUUUGAAGCUGUCACUUUCCUUCGUAUUCCAAACCAUAAGAUACUGAAGCGAUUCGUUUGUUUCGUAUAAGUGUUAAAAUCUGAUUUCAUCACUUGAUUCGAGCGUUCGUUUUGGUAGGGUACGAGUUUCGACUUGUACACUUGUGGGCGAUUGAGAGUAUUUGGUAUAACCACCUGAGUUGGGUAUGAUUACCUGCCGAACUUAAGCAUAUCAGUAAGCAGAGGAAAAGAAACAAACAUGGAUUCCCUUAGUAACGGCGAGUGAAA